rnacentral:rRNA from 1 species
CCUACGGGAGGCAGCAGUGGGGAAUAUUGGACAAUGGGGGCAACCCUGAUCCAGCUAUGCCGCGUGUGUGAAGAAGGCCCUCGGGUUGUAAAGCACUUUCAGUGAGGAAGAACGCCUGGUGGUUAAUACCCAUCAGGAAAGACAUCACUCACAGAAGAAGCACCGGCUAACUCCGUGCCAGCAGCCGCGGUAAUACGGAGGGUGCGAGCGUUAAUCGGAAUUACUGGGCGUAAAGCGCGCGUAGGUGGCUUGAUAAGCCGGUUGUGAAAGCCCCGGGCUCAACCUGGGAACGGCAUCCGGAACUGUCAAGCUAGAGUGCAGGAGAGGAAGGUAGAAUUCCCGGUGUAGCGGUGAAAUGCGUAGAGAUCGGGAGGAAUACCAGUGGCGAAGGCGGCCUUCUGGACUGACACUGACACUGAGGUGCGAAAGCGUGGGUAGCAAACAGGAUUAGAUACCCUAGUAGUC